CUGGGCGGCUUCGGCCUAACCCCUAACCUGUGAACGAUACCAGUUGCUAGCUGGGGGGUGAGAACUGCCCGUACCGGCGGCACUAAAACUCUUAUUAUGUAUGCUUCUUGAGUAUACUUUUAAAUAAGUUCA
rnacentral:misc_RNA from 1 species